CCUACGGUAGGCUGCCGUGAGGAAUAUUGGUCAAUGGGCGCGAGCCUGAACCAGCCAAGUAGCGUGAAGGAUGACUGCCCUACGGGUUGUAAACAUCUUUUAUCACGGAAUAAAGUGUGGCACGUAUGCCUUUUUGUAUGUACUUUAUGACUAAGGAUCGGCUAACUCCGUGCCAGCAGCCUCGGUAAUACUGAGGAUACGAGCGUUAUCCGGAUUUCUUGGGUUUAAAGGGUGCGUAGAUGGGUUGUUAAGUCAGUUGUGAACGUUUGCGGCGCAACCGUAAAAGUGAAAUUGAUACUGGCAGCCUUGAGUACAGUGGAGGUAGGCGGAAUGCGUGGUGUAGCGGUGAAAUGCUUAGAUAGCACGAAGAACUCCGAUUGCGAAGGCAGCCUACUAAACUGCCACUGACAUUGAUGCUCGAAAGUGUGGGUAUCAAACAGGAUUAGAUACCCGUGUAGUC
rnacentral:rRNA from 1 species